GAUGAACGCUGGCGGCGUGCCUAAUACAUGCAAGUCGAGCGAACAGAUGAGGAGCUUGCUCCUCUGACGUUAGCGGCGGACGGGUGAGUAACACGUGGAUAACCUACCUAUAAGACUGGGAUAACUUCGGGAAACCGGAGCUAAUACCGGAUAAUAUAUUGAACCGCAUGGUUCAAUAGUGAAAGACGGUUUUGCUGUCACUUAUAGAUGGAUCCGCGCCGCAUUAGCUAGUUGGUAAGGUAACGGCUUACCAAGGCAACGAUGCGUAGCCGACCUGAGAGGGUGAUCGGCCACACUGGAACUGAGACACGGUCCAGACUCCUACGGGAGGCAGCAGUAGGGAAUCUUCCGCAAUGGGCGAAAGCCUGACGGAGCACGCCGCGUGAGUGAUGAAGGUCUUCGGAUCGUAAAACUCUGUUAUUAGGGAAGAACAAAUGUGUAAGUAACUAUGCACGUCUUGACGGUACCUAAUCAGAAAGCCACGGCUAACUACGUG
rnacentral:rRNA from 1 species